rnacentral:tRNA from 1 species
AAGACACUAGUUAAACAAUAACCUUACCUUGUCAAGGUAAAAUUGUGGGUUAAACCCCCGCGUGUCUUA